UUCUUUGCAGAUUGAUUCAGACGUUCGGAGCCUCGAUGGAAAUUUGCAUGUGGGAACAUUACUGCAUUUUGAGCUAUUUGUUCAGGAGACUGCGCAUACACGCACACCGUAUAUUAAGUGGAGCCCAUCUUUUGGAAUUGAAUUUUGAUUGGAACUCUCUCAAACACACAUCUCAUAGG